rnacentral:lncRNA from 1 species
AAUAAAGGCGUUAUGUUUUAUCAUAUGCUGUUGAUUAUAUUUAUGAUAAACUCCUUAGAUUAGGGCAAUGGUUUUAAGACUAUGAUGAGAUCAUACUAGUGAGACUUAAAAUCCUAAAAUCCUAAUCUUAAAUAUUUCCAGUCAUUGGUACAUUGAGUCGGAGAUCAAUGAUUGCCGGAAAGACUGGCAUGUCUUAUGUAUGCUCGAUGCAGAGGAUGAUUGAUCUCACAAUCAUUUGUGUGGAGACACUAAUA